rnacentral:rRNA from 1 species
GACGAACGCUGGCAGCGUGCUUAACACAUGCAAGUCGAACGCUGAAGCCCUUUCGGGGGUGGAUGAGUGGCGAACGGGUGAGUAACACGUGGGUAAUCUGCCCUGCACUCUGGGAUAAGCCUUGGAAACGGGGUCUAAUACCGGAUAGGACACAUCGCCGCAUGGUGUGUGUGGAGAGUUCCGGCGGUGCAGGUUGAGCCCGCGGCCUAUCAGCUUGUUGGUGGGGUGAUGGCCUACCAAGGCGACGACGGGUAGCCGGCCAGAGAGGGUGACCGGCCACACUGGGACUGAGACACGGCCCAGACUCCUACGGGAGGCAGCAGUGGGGAAUCUUGCGCAAUGGGCGAAAGCCUGACGCAGCAACGCCGCGUGGGGGAUGACGGCCUUCGGGUUGUAAACCUCUUUCGACCGGGACGAAGGGUGACUGACGGUACCGGUAGAAGAAGCACCGGCUAACUACGUGCCAGCAGCCGCCGCGG